rnacentral:rRNA from 1 species
CGACGCUGGCGGCAGGCCUCAAACAUGCAAGUCUAGGGGUGUAGCAAUACAUCACCGGCGGACGGGUGCGUAACGCGUGGGAAUAUACCUAUCGAUUCGGAACAACUGAGGGAAACUUCAGCUAAUACCGAAUACGUCCUAACGGAGAAAGAUUUAUCGUCGAUAGAUUAGCCCGCGUUCGAUUAGCUAGUUGGUGGGGUAACGGCCCACCAAGGCGACGAUCGAUAGCUGUUCUGAGAGGAAGAUCAGCCACACUGGGACUGAGACACGGCCCAGACUCCUACGGGAGGCAGCAGUUGGGAAUCUUGGACAAUGGGGGAAACCCUGAUCCAGCCAUGCCGCGUGAGUGAUGGAGGCCUUCGGGUUGUAAAACUCUUUCGCGCACGACGAUAAUGACGGUAGUGCGAGAAGAAGCUCCGGCUAACUUCGUG